UACGUAGGGGGCUAGCGUUGUCCGGAAUCAUUGGGCGUAAAGAGCGCGUAGGCGGCCAGGUAAGUCCGGUGUGAAAGUCACAGGCUCAACCUGUGAAUGCCGCUGGAAACUGUCUGGCUAGAGUCCGGGAGGGGCGAGUGGAAUUCCUGGUGUAGCGGUGAAAUGCGCAGAUAUCAGGAGGAACACCAAUGGCGAAGGCAGCUCGCUGGAACGGUACUGACGCUGAGGCGCGAAAGCCAGGGGAGCAAACGGG
rnacentral:rRNA from 1 species